GACAGAGGGGGCAAGCGUUGCUCGGAAUUACUGGGCGUAAAGGGCGCGUAGGCGGGAUGGCAAGUCGGUCGUGAAAUCCCUCGGCUCAACUGAGGAUCGUCGAUCGAUACUGCCGUUCUUGAGGAUUGCAGAGGAGACUGGAAUUCCCGGUGUAGCGGUGAAAUGUGUAGAGAUCGGGAGGAACACCGGUGGCGAAGGCGGGUCUCUGGGCCGUAACUGACGCUGAGGAGCGAAAGCGUGGGGAGCGAACAGG
rnacentral:rRNA from 1 species